rnacentral:rRNA from 1 species
UGCAGUCGAGCGAGAAGCUACCUUCGGGUAGUGGACAGCGGCGCACGGGUGAGUAACGCGUACACAAUCUACCUUAUAGAGGAGAAUAGCCCUGGGAAACUGGGAUUAAUGCUCCAUAGUAUUACACUUUGGCAUCAAGGUGUAAUUAAAGCUCCGGCGCUAUAAGAUGAGUGUGCGUACUAUUAGCUAGUUGGUAAGGUAACGGCUUACCAAGGCUACGAUAGUUAGGGGGCGUGAGAGCGUGACCCCCCACACGGGUACUGAGACACGGACCCGACUCCUACGGGAGGCAGCAGUAAGGAAUAUUGGACAAUGGGCGCAAGCCUGAUCCAGCCAUCCCGCGUGGAGGAUGACUGCCCUAUGGGUUGUAAACUCCUUUUAUUUGAGAAGAAACGCCUGGAUUUAUCCGGGCCUGACGGUAUCUUAUGAAUAAGCACCGGCUAACUCCGUGCCAGCAGCCGCGGUAAUACGGAGGGUGCAAGCGUUAUCCGGAAUCACUGGGUUUAAAGGGUGCGUAGGUGGUUUAGUAAGUCAGAUGUGAAAGCCCGGCGCUCAACGUCGGAAUUGCAUUUGAUACUGCUGAACUUGAAUCAGGUUGAGGUGGGCGGAAUGUGGCAUGUAGCG